CAGUAGCCGCGGUAAUACGUAGGGUGCAAGCGUUAAUCGGAAUUACUGGGCGUAAAGCGUGCGCAGGCGGUUAUAUAAGACAGAUGUGAAAUCCCCGGGCUCAACCUGGGAACUGCAUUUGUGACUGUAUAGCUAGAGUACGGCAGAGUGGGAUGGAAUUCCGCGUGUAGCAGUGAAAUGCGUAGAUAUGCGGAGGAACACCGAUGGCGAAGGCAAUCCCCUGGGCCUGUACUGACGCUCAUGCACGAAAGCGUGGGGAGCAAACAGGAUUAGAGACCCCCGUAGUCCCUGUCUCUUAUAA
rnacentral:rRNA from 1 species